CAGCAAGGGCUGGUUUCUCCAUAAUUUGUAUCUUCAUCAUGCAUCAAUUAUGUUGAUGUAGCCCUUGCUGG
rnacentral:pre_miRNA from 1 species